rnacentral:lncRNA from 1 species
CUUUGAAGCUUUUGGCUGGCAAUUUGAAUUCCAUCAACGGGGUUCCUCUUUUUUGGAUCUUUUGAAACCAACUAUCUCUGUCAAGAAGCACUCCUCAAUUCAUCUCUGCUCUAGUCCAGUGGAUGGUGAAUCACAGGUGCCCGGGAACGGUAACCAUUGCUGCAUUAUUAAUGAUAGCUGCGCUUGCUCUCACGCUUCUUCUUAGUCCAUGGUACUCAUUUGAAACUUUCCCUUUUACCUUGGGCUAAAUCUUAGGAACUCAAGAUCCUGGCUUAGAUGGUUCCACUAUAUGUGAAUAUUUAUAUGUGUGAUCUUUAUAGGACCAACAGCAAAUUCCCAGUAACAGGACAAAGUUCAGGGUUGGAGCCAUCUGUUGGUGCAUAAGGAAACACCCAAACUUCGUGGCUUCAAACAAAGACGGUCUUUUUUAUUCACUCACACACCUGCGACUUGGGCAGCUACUCAGCAAGAACAGCUCCAUGAAGCAUGAGCUCAGAUGGCUCAAAUGCUGAGGAUGACUCCCGGCACUGGAGUGUCUGAGGCUCACCCACACGCAUGACUGGUAAUGGAUGCCAGCUGACAGGUGGGACCACAGGUGGGGUGUCAGCUAGAACACCUCCAUGUGGCCUCUCUCUGUGGCUGCUUGGCUUCUUCAUAGCAUGGUGGCAGGGUUCCAAGAGCAAGUGUCUCCAGAGAACCUGGUAGAAGCUGGAUCCUUUUUAUGGCCUAGGCUUAGAAGUCACACAGUGUCACUUCUCCCAUAGUUAUGGGCUCUCUCAGAUUGGAGAGAGGUGGACACAAACUGUACUUCUCUGUCGGAGUAGUGUCAGCCUUGUAAGAGGUGUAUGUGUGAUGUGAGAGCUCACUGCAGCCAUCUUGGGAGUACAACCUGCUGUGAAAUGGAAGGUUCAUUUGGAAACAAGAAGACUCGACACCUGCUCAGUUUGGUUUUUCACAUCCUCUAGUGUAUUAGAAAAAAUUUCGUAUGCUUCAUCUCCUUCACUCUGAUGUUACCCUUGAAUGUAUGGUUUCAAAACUCUAUGGGUUUUUAUGAGAUGACAUGGCUACUUUAUUAAAUAGACGCAAGGAAGACCUAACAGGUUGCUUGAAUUUAAGGCAAAGCUAUGGGCAGACAUAAAUUUGAUGAAUAAUUCACUGUGACUACAUUAAUUGACAACAUCGAUGUCAACACUAGUCUUGUAAAAGACCUCUUCUCUCCCAAACGUGGAGGUAGUUGGGGACAUGCUGAUGCUUAGUACCCAUCCUCGGAGGAGCACGCAUACCACAAUCCCCUGUAUCACUUAGCUCAGGGGACUGGAGAAAGGAAGAUUCGGACUAUUCUGUUCUUGCCUCUUCUGGUCCCCUAAAGCUCCCUUUCUUAGCCGUCUACCAUCAGGACCAGAAUUUCUAGUCACUACAUUGCUUUCACUGCUGCACCCGAAACUACCCAGUCAACAAUAUAAAGAAACCAGACCAAACCUAGAACUUGCCAUCUAAUUAAAGCAUCUGAACAUUGUCCCAUCACGGUUUAGGACACUGAUGGGCUCAUCGCAACGUGCACGAAUGUGUAGGUAUGACUGUAAAUGGACGAUACUUGCAAACGUCACAAGGAUUUGCCAAGGACUAAAUAUUUUUUAAUUUUACAUGUAGAG